rnacentral:lncRNA from 1 species
CCGGAGUUGCGGUUAUUCCUAACCCUAACUCUAUACUUGUGGUUACUUGUUGUGAUUGCUCUUACUUACAUCGUAUUGUGCUUGCUCUCUUAUAUGCUUGUGUCAACUGCCUAGUACUUUGUACUUACUAGCAAUUGUUAGGCUCACUUUCAUAUUCCGCUCUAUUGCCUAAAAUUGCUUAGUAAUAAUUAAAAUUUGUAAUUGUACCUAUUCACCCCCCCCCCUCUAGGUCCAUCUCGAUCCUUUCAUGUGUAUCUGGCACGAGCGGUCGAGUAUUCUGUCCAAAUUGGACGGACCUGGAGUAGUUCUUCUGAAUGGCUUUUUCCGCUGACCGGGUUUGGAGCCUCUGAAUCUGGCAUUGACUGUCGUAUCCUCAGUAUUGUCACCGUUAAUGCGGCGUUUGUGCCUGUUGCGACGCGACCUCCCGUUGUGAUCCUUGGUAUCCGGACUGCCAGAAUUUUUGCUGAGGUUGUUGCUGCGGGCUAGCCAGCUGUCCUCUCCCGCGCAGAAGCGGGUCAUGAGUGAUGUGAGGGCUGCCAUGGAUUUCGGCUUUUUCUGUCCCAAGUGCCGGGCAAGCCACUCGUCACGAAUGUUAUGUUUGAAGGCCGCGAGGGCCUUCGCAUCCGGACAGUCGACAAUUUGAUUUUUCUUAGUUAAGAACCGUGUCCAGAAUUGUCUGGCCGAUUCGUAUGGCUGCUGAAUUAUAUGGCUUAGGUCGUCAGCGUCUGGUGGUCGCACAUAUGUGCCCUGGAAGUUAUCAAGGAAUGCGGCAUCCAGGUCCUCCCAACACCCAAUUGAUUCUACUGGCAAGCUGUUAAGCCAAUGCCGAGCUGGUCCUUUAAGCUUGAGUGGGAGGAAUUUGAUGGCGUGAAGAUCAUCACCGCGGGCCAUGUGGAUAUGAAGGAGAUAGUCUUCGAUCCAAACCGUGGGGUCUGUUGUGCCAUCAUAGGAUUCAAUAUUCACGGGUUUAAACCCUUCGGGGAUUUGAUGAUCCAUUACUUCAUCUGUGAAGCAUAGUGGGUGUGUGGCGCCUCUGUAUUGGGCUAUAUCACAACGUAGCACAAAUGAGCUUUGUCUACUGUGUUCGGCCCGGCUGGACUUGCUGUGUCCGGCGCGAUGGUUGUCGUCGCGUAUCAUCGGGCGCCCACGCGAUUUGUAGAUCAAUCUUGGUUGUCUUGCCUUAUCCUCCAAUAUAUCUCGCAUGUCCGGAGCGUUCCCCUGUGGCUUUGUGCUUUUCGAGUGAUGCCGGGGUACGGUUUUAGUGGAGGGUCUAGAGGCCUCUCUAUCGCGGCCACGGGGGUGGUCGGUCAGCCGUAUUGUGCGCUGGUGAUGCAGGUUUAUAUGCCUCCUCCUCUAAUAGGGGGAGCAGCUUGCGUUUGGGGUAGCUUUUGGAGGGGCGUUCGACUUCAUGCUCUUCGGCCGCAAGGACUUCACUCCAUCUGUCGGCUAGCAGAUCUUGAUCAGCUCUAAGUUGUUGCUGCUUUUUCUUGAGGCUGCUUGCCAUGGCCAUGAGCCUGCGUUUAAAACGCUCUUCUUCAACGGGAUCCUCAGGCACGACGAAUUCGUCGUCGUCGAGGCUUGCCUUGUCUCCGGAGGGGGGCAUGUAAUUAUCAUCCUCUACCUCUUCGUCUGCCGCUCUCUCAUGAGGGCUGGCUUCUCCAUCCUCCUGUGCUGAAUCUUUCUGGAGGGGGUUGUAUUCGGCACUAUCUGGGGUGUUAUUAUCUCCGGUGCCGGAAUCUCCAUUCUUGGUGUGGCGGGAUUUAGAGCGGCGCCGCUGACGUCGGCGCUUAGGCUGUUUCUUGGAGGGGUCUUCCUCCGCUGUUCCCUCGCCAUUCCCAUCCUUUGGGAUAUCCACCAUGUAUAUGUCAUAUGACGAGGUGGCUCUCCAGUGCCCAGUAGGUGCUGGUUCUUAGUCGUCUCCAGCAUCGUCAUCCAUACCGUCGAUGUCUUCGGAGUCGAAGUCUAGCAUGUCGGUUAGAUCAUCGACAGUGGCUACUAAGUGGGUGGUGGGUGGGCUUUGAAUUUCUUCGCCGUCCGCAUCCCAACCAUCCUGACCGCAGUCCGGCCAGGGCUCUCCUGAUAACGAGAGAUACUUUAGCGAAUUCAGGACGUCGACGAAAGGUGAGUGUUGAAAAUGUCCGCAGCGGUGAACUCCAUGCUCGGUGCCCAAUCGGAUUUGAUUGGAGGGGGCGCGGGAGGUUCGGAGUCCGGCACCUUGGAGUCACGAGCUUCACAGGGGACAAGGUUAGUAUUCGGCUCCAUCGCCGUAGAGGUUGCAGCCCCCGAGGCGGUGUCUAGCCACCCGUCCUUGAUCUGCGCAGCCAGCUCCAAAUUAAGGGUCGGAGCGGAGUCGUGUGCGGCCUCCAGUGCACUGUCCGGCACCAGAGCUAAAUCAUGCCCAUCGUGACAGUGCGGCGCGCUCGGCUGUGGCUUGAAUCCGUCGAGGAUCAAGUCUCCGCGGAUGUCAGCCGUGAAGUUCAGACUUCCAAAUCUGACAUGACGGCUAGGGGCGUAGCUUUCGAUCUGCUCCAGAUGGCCAAGCGAAUUGGCCUGCAGUGCAAAGCCGCCGAAUACGAAGAUCUGUCCGGGGAGAAAAGUCUCACCCUGGACGACGUCGUUGUUGUUGAUGAUCUAAGGAGCCAUCGAGCCUAUCGAUGAUGACAUAGAGGAACUCUCAAUGAAAGCACCAAUGUCGGUGUCAAAACCGGCGGAUCUCGGGUAGGGGGUCCCGAACUGCGCGUCUAGGCGGAUGGUAACAGGAGACAAGGGACACGAUGUUUUUACCCAGGUUCCGUCCCUCUCGAUGGAGAUAAAACCCUACUCCUGCUUGAUUGAUAUUGAUGAUAUGGGUAGUACAAGAGUGUAUCUACCACGAGAUCAAGGAGGCUAAACCCUAGAAGCUAGCCCAUGGUAUGAUUGUUGUUCUGUCCUAUGGCUACAACCCUCCGGUUUAUAUAGACACCAGGGAGGGCUAGGGUUACACAGAGUCGGUUACAAUGGUAGGAGAUCUACAUAUCCGUAUCGCUAAGCUUGCCUUCCACGCCAAGGAGAGUCCCAUCCGGACAAGGGACGAAGUCUUCAAUCUUGUAUCUUCAUAGUCUUGGAGUCCGGCCGAUGAUGAUAGUUCGGCUAUCCGGACACCCCCUAGUCCAGGACUCCCUCAGUCUCACUCUUUGUCAGGAGAUGCUUGGCCGUACUAUGUCCAGUAGGAGGGGAAGAAGGCGACGAAGAAAUUCGUUCCCCACCCACCACCCACUUCAUAGCCACUGUCGAUGACGUAACAGACAUGCUUGACUUCGACUCUGAUGACACUAACAGUAUGGACGUCGGCGUAGGGGACGAUGCUGAACCACCGCCCACGGGGCGCUGGACUGCCACCUCAUCAUAUGAUAUAUACAUGGUGGACAUGCCUAAGGAGGACGAUGGCGACAAAACGGAGGAUAAAACCCCUGGGCAAAGGCCAAAACGACGGUGCAGACGCCGGUCUAAGACCAGCCACAGUAAAAACAACGAUAACAGCGCUAGAAAGAUCGACACCCCAGUCAACUCCAAAGGCAACAAUGACCAUAUGGACCAAGGGAUGGAGCAGGAUGAGCCAGGUCACGCCGAACACAGCUUGGAGCACACGCCCGAUCACAGUGAUCCCAAGGGCCAAACUCAUCAACCUGCCCCAGGAGAGGAGCACAGUCCGGACGACGAUGCAUUCAUCAUCCCGGAAAAACAUUUGGAACGAGAUAACCUCCACAGAAGGCUUAUGGACACUGCGAGAAGUCUAAAGAAGCAGAAGCAAAGGCUUAAGGCCGCACAGGAAACACUCAAUCGCAGAUGGAAUAAAGUGCUAGACACCGAAGAAAAAUACGGCGACGAUCGCCACCCAAAGAGCUAUCCAAAGCACAAGUUGCUGCCAGAAUUCGACGAUCAGGCCAUUCCACCGGAGAACAAUAUGGCCAGUACCCCAGACCAACCACUUCAUGACCACAAUAGAGAAGCUAUUGACACAACCCAUGAUUUACGUGAGCUCCUGGAUAAAAAAUUUGGCGCGACUAGGUCCAUCU